rnacentral:rRNA from 1 species
AUUGAACGCUGGCGGCAGGCCUAACACAUGCAAGUCAAACGGUAACAGGAAGAAGCUUGCUUCUUUGCUGACGAGUGGCGGACGGGUGAGUAAUGUCUGGGAAACUGCCUGAUGGAGGGGGAUAACUACUGGAAACGGUAGCUAAUACCGCAUAACGUCGCAAGACCAAAGAGGGGGACCUUCGGGCCUCUUGCCAUCGGAUGUGCCCAGAUGGGAUUAGCUAGUAGGUGGGGUAACGGCUCACCUAGGCGACGAUCCCUAGCUGGUCUGAGAGGAUGACCAGCCACACUGGAACUGAGACACGGUCCAGACUCCUACGGGAGGCAGCAGUGGGGAAUAUUGCACAAUGGGCGCAAGCCUGAUGCAGCCAUGCCGCGUGUAUGAAGAAGGCCUUCAGGUUGUAAAGUACUUUCAGCGGGGAGGAAGGGAGUAAAGUUAAUACCUUUACUCAUUGACGUUACCCGCAGAAGAAGCACCGGCUAACUCCGUG